rnacentral:rRNA from 1 species
UACGUAGGGUGCAAGCGUUAAUCGGAAUUACUGGGCGUAAAGCGUGCGCAGGCGGUGAUGUAAGACAGGUGUGAAAUCCCCGGGCUUAACCUGGGAACUGCAUUUGUGACUGCAUCGCUGGAGUGCGGCAGAGGGGGAUGGAAUUCCGCGUGUAGCAGUGAAAUGCGUAGAUAUGCGGAGGAACACCGAUGGCGAAGGCAAUCCCCUGGGCCUGCACUGACGCUCAUGCACGAAGCG